AUAUGCUUCUGGCUAAACAAACAUGAUAUAACCUGUGAUUCAAAAAAGCAAGGAGAAAAUUCUAAACUAGUUACACAUUUUUGGGGAGCUUCAGGAUCAUCAGGCAAGGAGAUACUCAACAAAAUUAGAGAAUUCAACUUACUGAUUUCACUCAUUGUUCGGAAAGGGGUCGCGCGGGCCUUUCGCCAUUACCUCAGACCUAAGGAACCAGAAACUUCGCCAGGUCGCUAUAACAAAUCCUCCAGUCUUGAAAGUACCCCAUAUACUGGCACAGUCUCCAAGAGCGGAAGGCAUGCCUCAAAGUCACAGAUUUUGGACUGUUACCAGCUCUGCUACUUCCGUCACACAUACAGUCUUGGGAAGAGAAUGUUGUGCCACCCUCACCACCACCCCCAUCCACCUACCACACCCUUUUCUCCUUAUGAAACCUCAAAGAGCUCCAAGGAGGGAACCAGUUGCCACCUGCUGUGUUGCCCUCCACUAGUGUGACUGGUUUUUCCUGCUGCAGCAGCCCUGAUGACCCAUGGAGACCGAUGUAGUUAGCCUUGUAGGAUGGAAACUCAAGUUUGGCAGGCAAACAAUAAAAUAGGUCUUUUCAAGUGAUUCUGAGAACCUGAAAAGUGACUUUGUUGUAAAACCUGUGAUUUUCCUUUCUCCUUUCCAAUGAGUUGGAUUUUUGAACUAUACUUAGUAUUCAGAACUCAAAGUACUCUCUGUUCUUGCUGCUUGUGAAUGCAUUACAAAGUGAACCC
rnacentral:lncRNA from 1 species